rnacentral:rRNA from 1 species
UACGUAGGGGGCUAGCGUUGCUCGGAAUUACUGGGCGUAAAGGGCGCGUAGGCGGGAUGGCAAGUCGGUCGUGAAAUCCCUCGGCUCAACCGAGGAACGUCGAUCGAUACUGCUGUUCUUGAGGAUUGCAGAGGAGACUGGAAUUCCCGGUGUAGCGGUGAAAUGUGUAGAGAUCGGGAGGAACACCGGUGGCGAAGGCGGGUCUCUGGGCAAUUCCUGACGCUGAGGCGCGAAAGCGUGGGAAGCAAACGGG